AACGAACGCUGGCGGCAUGCCUAACACAUGCAAGUCGAACGAGACCUUCGGGUCUAGUGGCGCACGGGUGCGUAACGCGUGGGAAUCUGCCCUUGGGUUCGGAAUAACAGUUAGAAAUGACUGCUAAUACCGGAUAAUGUCUUCGGACCAAAGAUUUAUCGCCCAGGGAUGAGCCCGCGUAGGAUUAGCUAGUUGGUGAGGUAAAAGGCUCACCAAGGGCGACGAUCCUUAGCUGGUCUGAGAGGAUGAUCAGCCACACUGGGACUGAGACACGGGCCCAGACUCCUACGGGA
rnacentral:rRNA from 1 species